rnacentral:rRNA from 1 species
AAACGUCCGUUGUGAAGAGGGAAAAAACCCAGACCAUCAGCUAAGGUCCCAAAGUCUCGGCUAAGUGGUAAACGAUGUGAGAAGGCAUAGACAGCCAGGAGGUUGGCUUAGAAGCAGCCAUCCUUUAAAGAAAGCGUAAUAGCUCACUGGUCUAGUCGGCUCGCGCGGAAGAUAUAACGGGGCUCAAGCCGAGCACCGAAGCUAUGGGUGUGUAGCAAUACACGCGGUAGGGGAGCGUUCUGUAGGCCUGCGAAGGUGUGCUGUGAGGCAUGCUGGAGGUAUCAGAAGUGCGAAUGCUGACAUGAGUAACGUUAAAGCGGGUGAAAAACCCGCUCGCCGAAAACCCAAGGUUUCCUGAGCUACGUUAAUCGGCUCAGGGUGAGUCGGAUCCUAAGGUGAGGCCGAAAGGCGUAAUCGAUGGACAUCAGGUUAAUAUUCCUGAACCGAUAAUUACUGCGAUGGGGUGACGGAGAAGGCUAAAGCAGCGGCAGCAGUGCCGUCCAAGCUCGUAGGCGGAUCUUCCUCGCAAAUCCGGAAGGUCAUUCAACGCCGAGAAGUGAGUGCGAGUCGAACCGCAAGGUAAGACGAAGUGUUUGAUGCCCCGCUUCCAGGAAAAGCCUCUAAGCUUCAGGUAAUUAUUGUCCGUACCGUAAACCGACACUGGUGGGUGAGCAGAAAAUCUGCUUAGGCGCUUGAGAGAACUCUGGUUAAGGAACUCAGCAAAUUGAUACCGUAACUUCGGAAGAAGGUAUGCCUUUUUUGGUCACAGGACUUGCUCCUGGAAGCUGAGAGAGGCCACAGGUAAUCGGGGGCUGCGACUGUUUACCAAAAACACAGGACUCUGCGAACACGUAAGUGGAUGUAUAGGGUCUGACGCCUGCCCGGUGCUGGAAGGUUAAUUGAUGGGGUCAGCCGCAAGGCGAAGCUCUUGAUCGAAGCCCCAGUAAACGGCGGCCGUAACAAUAACGGUCCUAAGGUAGCGAAAUUCCUUGUCGGGUAAGUUCCGACCUGCACGAAUGGCGUAACGCUGGCCCCACUGUCUCGACCAGAGACUCAGUGAAGUUGAAAUCGCUGUGAAGAUGCGGCGUAGCUGCGGAAAGACGGAAAGACCCCGUGAACCUUUACUACAGCUUUACACUGAACUUUGAAUUUAUUUGUGUAGGAUAGGUGGGAGCCUAUGAAGCAGGGGCGCUAGCUCUUGUGGAGGCAACCUUGAAAUACCACCCUGAUAACUUCGGAGUUCUAACCUAGAUCCGUAAUCCGGAUUGGGAACACUGUAUGGUGGGUAGUUUGACUGGGGCGGUCUCCUCCCAAAGAGUAACGGAGGAGUGCAAAGGUACCCUCAGCGCGGUCGGUCAUCGCGCUUUUGAGUGCAAUGGCAUAAGGGUGCUUGACUGCGAGACGUACAUGUCGAGCAGGAACG